GAGGAGGAGGGGCUCGGCCCAGGGUCCCGAGUUGCAGGAAGAGGGCCAGGAGCCACGGAACGCACGAGGCUCUUCAGGCUUGAAAAGGUCCCAGAGAGUCUGCCGACGAAAGCAGCUCUGUUGACUUUAGCCCAUUGUGGACUUCUCACCCUCUAGAACUCUCAUCUUAUAAUGGAUUUCCAAAGUACUCAGAUCACCUUCUUGAUCCCUCACCUGUAAAAGGACUUUUCAAACUCUUCCUUUCAGUGAAG